UUUUUGAAUGUUAUUAUGUAUAAAAAUCAAGUUAAAUGGUAAAACAAGAAAUUUUUAGUUAAAUUACUUUUUUUGUGAAAUAAUUAUUUUAAUUAUAGUGUAUUAGAAUUGAGGGGGUAAUAUUUGACAAUAGGAAAAGAAGGUUUAUUUUGUACCUUGUGUAUCAGGGUUUAUUAAUUAUAGUUGUUUAAUUAUGGUUUCUCGAAUUAAGAAGAGCUAAGUCUUUAGAAUUUUUAUUGUGGCAUAAAUAUUGAAAAUACGGGCUUAGAGAUUAAACGUUAUUCGGGUCUUAAUAUAUCUAGUUUUAAGAGAAAGAAGUUUAAUUAUUUUAUUUGAAAAUAUAGGUUUAAUUUUUUAAUUUUAUAUUUUUAAUAGGUUAUAAAUUUGGGGAAGAGCUUGAAUUUAGAAAUUUAUAGUUUUUAUAAAAGGAUUUAUUUUUAGGAUUAAAAUUGUUCAUAAAUUAAAAGAAUGUUAUAAUUUAUAAAUUGUUGAUUAAGAUUUAUAUAGGAUUUAAGUUUUUUAUUUUAAAAUUUUAUUUAACUUUAGAAUAGAAUAUUUAAUGGUAGAAUAAGUAUAUUGGUUAAUAUUUUUAGUUUAGAAGUGAAUUAAACAUAAGGAAUUCGGCAAAUUAUUUUUCACCUGUUUAUUAAAAACAUGUCUUUUUGAUUAAUGAUUUAAGGUCGGCCCUGCCCACUGAUGAUUUAAAUGGCCGCAGUAUAUUGACUGUGCAAAGGUAGCAUAAUCAUUAGUUUUUUAAUUGAAAGCUGGAAUGAAAGGGUUGAUGAAAAAGUAGCUGUCUCGUGUUUAAAAAUAGAAUUUGAUUUUUAAGUAAAAAAGCUUAAAUAUUAUUAUAGGACGAUAAGACCCUAUAGAGUUUAAUAUUUAAAGGUAAAAUAUUAGAUUAGUAUUAAAAUUAAGGUUUUAUUUUUAUUAUUUUGUUGGGGUGACAUUAAAAUUAAAUAAACUUUUAAUUUGUAAUACACAGAAUUUGUGGGUUAUUUGAUCCAUUAUUUAUGAUUAAAAGAUUAAAUUACCUUAGGGAUAACAGCGUAAUUUUUUUUAAGAGUUCAAAUCGAAAGAAAAGUUUGCGACCUCGAUGUUGGAUUAAAAUUUAUUUUUGGAGUAGAAGAUAAAAAAUUAGGUCUGUUCGACCUUUAAAAUUUUACAUGAUCUGAGUUUAGACCGGUGUGAGCCAGGUUGGUUUCUAUCCUUAAUUUAGGCUAAUGUUUUAGUACGAAAGGAUUAAAUAUUAAAUUUAUAAUUUA
rnacentral:rRNA from 1 species